rnacentral:rRNA from 1 species
GGGGGAAUUUUGGACAAUGGGCGAAAGCCUGAUCCAGCAAUGCCGCGUGUGUGAAGAAGGCCUUUGGGUUGUAAAGCACUUUUUGUCCGGAAAGAAAUCCUUGGCUCUAAUACAGUCGGGGGAUGACGGUACCGGAAGAAUAAGCACCGGCUAACUACGUGCCAGCAGCCGCGGUAAUACGUAGGGUGCAAGCGUUAAUCGGAAUUACUGGGCGUAAAGCGUGCGCAGGCGGUUUGCUAAGACCGAUGUGAAAUCCCCGGGCUCAACCUGGGAACUGCAUUGGUGACUGGCAGGCUAGAGUAUGGCAGAGGGGGGUAGAAUUGCCACGUGUAGCAGUGAAAGUGCGUAGAGAUGUGGAGGAAUACCGAUGGCGAAGGCAGCCCCCUGGGCCAAUACUGACGCUCAUGCACGAAAGCGUGGGGAGCAAACGAGGAUUAGAUACCCUGGUAGUCCAGCGCCCUAAAACCGAUGUCAACUAGUUGUUGGGGAUUGCAUUUCCUUAGUAACGUAGCUAACGCGUGAAGUUG